UGAAUCUAAAAAUAACAAAAAAUUAAAGAGUUAGUUGUCUUCUAUCUGUGACGUAUUACGCCGAACCGGUUACUAAUGUUUGGCAUUUCGUAUUCGUAAAUUAAAAAAACCCCCGUUUUCGCGGAACAGACUAGCCGGCCGAAUAGGGCUGCGACUGCCUUUGUGUGACACCCCUUCGACUUUUCAAAAUUCAAUAAAUCCCAAAUCUUUAGUUAUUAUUUUUUAUUACCAGCUGAUCGCAACUAAUUGCAUGACGUAGUUUUGACGUAUAUACGUAUUUUCUUGUCCAUAAUAAUCACACUAACUGUUCUUCUAGCCUAUGAAAUCUAUUUAAUUCAUUUAAAUCGGAGAUUACAUGAGAAGAAAGACCAUAACCUAAAGUGAAAUUAUGCAUUGAUCACGAAAACAAAACAGGUUUCCUCAAUUUACCACUGACCUCCACAAGUAUUGAAGUGCCGAAACGCAGCUUACUUGUUAAAAGUAAUUUAUUUCAAGUCUGGCGAAUAAAGCCAGUUCAAGUUCAGCAGCAGGCAGCCACUGCAUCAGAAGCCAACAACCCGGUUAGCAAUUUAAAAAAAAUCACAAUGCACAUAAACGAUCAUACACACAUGGAUCGAAUUUGUUUGCGAUUGCAACUUGAGGUGUGCCAACAAAGUAUAAAGGUAUAGAAUCUGCCAGGAUAUUCAAUGGUAUCCGAUCCGAUAUUUCAAACAAAAAAACUUUUUUUUUUUGCUUUUGUCUCCAACAGCUAGUUUCUUGUAAUCAAUUAUUGUGUUAUCAGCAAUCAUACAUACAAUAAUUAUUUGUUAUUAAAUUUAAAUAAAUUACUGAAGCUAGGUUGGCACCUUUAUUGUUAAUGGAAUAAGUAAAUUUAUUCUCUGUUUGUUUGAACCGGUACGGGUUAAAUAACACACAUUUACGGAAGGCAGAUAAACAACGAAACGAAAUUCAAAGCAACUGACUGACAUUGCGGCCACGAAAUCAGGCUGUACAAACAACAUCAGUUUUAUAGCCCUACCUCUAUCCCAUGGGUUGCGUGGUUUAUAUACCGCACUUUAAUUUAUAUUUAGACAAAUGUUUACUUUUAAGCCACCGUCCUCGCAGACGUCGUCUCGUUCAAAACACCUGUGUAAAACGGAAACAUUUUUAAAGCUUGCAAAGUUUUUAAAAAUUAAAAUUUCUACCAAUUUAUAUUUUAGUUGUCCGUAUCAGACACUUAAAGGCACAUCUAAUGACUAAAGCAACUACAUCUGUGCAUAUUUUUAUUUUCGGUAUACACGGAAGAAGGUAUUAUUCUUGAUUGUUUAUAAUAAAAAUAUUUUAAGAUGUUUUUUGUA